GAGGGAGAGGAAGAUAGGGACAGGGCGAACGCCAGCAGGGUGGAACAGAGAAAGCUGAAAUCGCGUGGGAGCGAGAAAGAGGAAGAGGUUUGAACCCCUUCUACGGGGGAUCGUACUCCCUCCGAGCUUCUCUCCAUCUCCUCCGCCGCUUCCUCUUCCUUCUCCUCUCUGUCACCCCCUCGGGCCCCGGUCCCUUCCUUUCUCGCGGCCGGAAAGUAAUCAAUACUUUGGAAAGGUGCGGGGUUGGAGCACACCGCCUGUAAGUCGCGGCGUCAUAGGAGUUUCACGCGAAUUCUAUGCGUAACUAUCGCCAGGGCCCGAAGAGCAAAGGCCAAGGACAAUUGCCCGGCAGAGACACACUCGACGCCGGCUCGAACGCGUGGCUUCUUUCUAGUCAUCAUCGUCCUCUGUCCGCCACAAAAAGUGACUCGGAACGUACACGUGUGAUCCAAGUUUUCCGGUUGAUAACGUGACCACUUUUACGCCGAACCUACUCUGUGUAGUAGCCGGUCCCCCUACGACCGGUUCCAUAUUUUGUUCGAACAUUGUUAAGAUUGUAAAAGACCUUCUCGUCGGAAACGCGAAUUCAAUCAAUUGCUCGACGUAUGCCAUUCGUCAGAAAUCAUGUUACUCUAGUCGGAAUAAAUCCGAAGUCUUGUAACUCUUACGAGGCAACGCGUGUCGGACAUCUUUGCUGCUCGGUCAGUGGGAACUAAAAGGCUGGGAAUAAUGACUCACCUCCAACCUCCGCCAACUUGGCCGACUGAAGAUUCUGGUAGGGCGUCGCCGCUACCCCUAGAACAGGGAAAAGGAAAGUUGUAGGACACUCGAGGACAGAGGGGAUGAAACGAUAUUGGGAUGGCGGUGAAUUCAGGAACAUUUGUUUGUCAGACCGUCGGAAUUGCUGGAAAAAUCGUUAAAUCGACGCAACCGUGUUCGAAGAAACCGUGCAGAUUUUACUCCACAAAGGGAGGACAUUUGGGAGCAUCAAGAUACGUAUGGGACAGCGAACGAGGGUUAAUACUUAUCCGGAGAAUGAACAUGUCAAUGAAGGAACGGCUAAAGCGACCUAUGUCAAAGAAGAACCAGGUGUCUACCCGCCGAUAGAACUUUCUUCGUAGAGCAACUUCGUGGAACGCUGGUCGGCCACGUGUGUGAACGCAGCUGUACGAGGCCGAGUAUCGAGCUCCUUCUCAUUAGGAUAUCGUCCCUCGAGGCUCGCAGGAAGAUACUUUAAGGAAACAUCGGAACGUGCGGUCCUACCGGAUGGGUCCCGAUGUAUCGUUUUUACUUUCGCUUCCUCAACCUGAGAAGCUAUCCUGCUCCUUGCAGACAAGAGGAUCGCCCCGGCACCCGGCCGAAAGGGUAGCAACAGAGAGAGAAGCGAAGGCCGGCGAUCCAGUUGUCUAUUAUAUUUAACCGAGUCAUAGCUAUAGAUACACGCGUCAAUUCACCGAGAGUCGUUAAACUGGGGAGCACACUGUAUAUACAAUAAUCCAGUUUCGACCCAUUAAAGUUUGCAUUAAUCAAGUUUUAUUUCGCUCGUCAGCUACAAAACAAGAUGUUAAACGAGUAUUAUGGACCGCGUAUUUUAUGCAUUUACGACAAUGUCGAAUUAUUCAUGGAAGGAAGGUAUCCAGCGUAUGUUUCUUAGAAUUAACAUAGAUAAUUUGUAUCUUGUAGAGAAAGAUUCGCGGUAUUAUUAUCGGGCUGCGGAUUGUCAUGCAUCUACGGCAAAGAUGAGCGAGAGCAAUUUAACCCUUUGCACUCGAAGCCAUUUUAACUCCGAAUUCGAAAUAGUUCUUCCGACUAACAGUAUUUCCAUUUUGUAUGACUUAAGUGCAUCUUUAAAGUGUAAUGCAACUGUUCAAAGUGUAAUUAUUUCAUACAUAUGCAUAUAUAUUAACAUAUUAGAUUGGUGGUAGAAAACGUCGUUUCCUUAUUUAUACUUUCUAACUAGCACAAACUUAGCAUAAGUAAUGUAAUUACGACAAAGAUGAGUGAGAGCAAUUUAACCCUUUGCACUCGAAGCCAUUUUAACUCCGAAUUCGAAAUAGU